UGGGAGUGGUAGGAAGGAGAGCUUUCCUUCCCUUCCCUACCCCUCCCCUCCGAGGUCUAGCUCGCCUCGCUGUGGGUCUAGGCGUCGCCGUGUCCGUGGCCGCGCGGCAGCAGGUGGACCAGGAGCUCCUUCCGGUACCUACCUACCUUGCUAGCUACCUACCCCCGCCUUGGGAUCGGGGUGUGGGUGGGUACCUACUGCUGCCGCCGCCGGAAGAGAGCCACCCCCACCCCUCGCUUCGAAAGACUAUGCCACCGGGAGCUGCGGGCGCUGCCCUACGUCGUGGAUCUGAAGUUUCCAGGACGUAUAAACUCUAGUUUACAGUCGUGUGGUUCGUGGUCUACCAUCUUCCCAUGUUUUAAAUCCUGAAGACCAAACUUAAUUAAGUUAUGUAUUGUACACUCGUUACAGACACUCCAUGGUUCAAAGAUUGAAUUAUUGUUACCUCUACUUGUACUUCUCGGUGUUUCAUAUUGUGAUUAAAGUUAGAGUUGUUACGUAUUGCAAAACUAGAAUUUCUUUCUUGAUCGAAUUUCUAUUCCGUGUGUACGAACAUCUAAACUUAUAAACCGUUUCUCUAUCCUUAAGUUCUGUAAAGAGUUCUACAAGUCAAUAUUUUAUCAAGGUCGAUGUUAUUGCUAGACUAAUGUUUAGGUACACAUUACGGUGAUAAAAUACGAUGUAAACAAUAAGUCCAGGUCAACGCAUUAACCAGUUUUCCUGUAAAACUCCACGAACAGGUCUACACUAAUAAAGAGAAGUCAUUGUCCAGUUAGUAUAUAAAGAAAGUAGAUUGAAACACGAAACAAUAGAUGUUUGAUUAUCCAGUAAGACAGAUGUAUGAUAGUACGGGAUUUUGACACUAUCCAAACGGGGAUAAAAACCAACACAACGGUUUAGUAAAGUUUUAUACAGGAAAAUUACCUCAAUCUUAUAAAAUUGCAAUGUUACCGUUGGAUUUUUAUUACCUUCGAAAGGUCGUAAUGGUUUCAAGGUGAGGACAAAGAUAAGUAAAACCAGCGAGAUCCUUAAAGAUCGGUAAACAUGCAUGGAUCACAAUAACAACUUUUAACUUAAUCAUUUUAUCGAACACUAUUUUUUUAGGGAUUUACAAAAGGGGAAUCCUGUCUCAACAACAAAAACUCCUCGUUCCAUGUGCUAUAUAUACAUCCCGGAGAAACCAGUUGCAGAGUUACCUAUUUUCGGUUACGUACAAGUGAAAUGUUUUUUCCUCUCUUUUGGAAGUACACAAAGUAUACGAAUGAGCACCACUACGGUUGGAAAACGAUAACGUUUGCAAUGACCAAGAGAUUAUAGUUCUAGUGGAAGAAAAGACAACGUCGUUUGUAAUGUACUUGAAAGUGCUCAAACAAAUGUUAAAGCUUGAGGAGGUUAACUUGCCGAGCAGAUGACUUCAUGAGACAAACACAUGUCAAAACAUCCUCAAACCUCAUGAGACUCGUGGAUGGACAUCACACGGUAGUUUUGGUGCACGUGAUGUCCUCAAAACGUACCGUACUCAUUAGAAGGAGAGGAAGGAGGGAGUGUCAGAGAUCGGCGGGAGAGGGAGAUCUAAGUUUAAAUCAAGAAUGCACGUUCUCAAACGUAGUACUUACUUUCGUCUCGACUAAGAGUAAAGUCAUGAUCCACCCAUCCCUAAUUAGGUAGUUUGACUUACUAAUAUCAAUCCUUUGGACAGUUAUACCAAUAUACAUAAUCAUUAUUCUAAAAUUUAGUUAAGUUUGUCCUUUUCGUACACUAAAAAAGAUAAAUCAUGAGGGAGGUAGGGUUUUAAGAACAGCAUCGAAACAGAUCUAUGCCUACAUAGAUUAUGAUUUUACACUGAACUAUGUAAGCAUAAAUCUUUUUAGAUUCUGUUCUUAAAACCCAGCCUCCCUCAUAAAUCAUAAAGACCUUUUGAUAUGCGCAAGAACGAUUAAAGUAUGAUGAUCUAAUGUCAGCAUGUACGAGAACGAACAGAUGUUUUAAAGUAAGAACGUAGAUUGGGACUAAUUUCUUUACGAACUUAUCGUCCUACCGUAACCCAACAGUACAAAAUGACAGUAAACGCACAUCAUGAGACAACUGAGUUCACGAAACGAUAAUAUUACAACAGUAAAUGCAAAUCAUUAGACAACUGAGUGUACCGUGUGAUACACUGACGUACACCGGUUCUUCCAAAUACUUACAGAAUCAUAAAACAAUUAUUGUAUGGAGUCUUCGAUCUUGUCUAACCAAAGUACGUCCACGGUAAGAUGAACAUCAAAUAAAGGUCCCACCAAAACGAUAAAUAUCUACAUAGUACAUCCAUCCCAUUUUGUAGGAGAACCAGAGAAAAGACACCAGACACCAACAUCGAAUUUUAACCACGUAAGUACGCUUUUUCUAGUUUAACCAGGGACAUAUAUGUUCACUUGACAUCUCUUUCUAAGGUGUACCGCAACCGAAAUCCCUUCAUAGUGCGUUUAUUUCCUCUCUCUAAUGUGUCACCCUACUACAAAGAACGAUAUAAGAGUUGACUUAACUCAUAGUAUGUUUCUAUAGUAUAAGGGUUUGAACGGAGACCCUUAUUAUCGUCAGUUCAUCAGUACGACCCAAAAGAUACUAGGUUUAUUCUCGUGUGAACGGAAACAAAAUUGUAUGUCUAAUUUACAACUCUUCAUAUAAUAAGACUAACGAAUCAGUUACAUAGCUAUUAUCAUACCACGUACGGCUGAGAACAAGAGAAUAGCAAAGGAUUCCUAGUGAAGAUUCCUAUAUUCCUUUCCGUAAAGGAAGGGUACGAAUAACUGACGUAUAGAGGACCAGGACAGUAAACCAUACACGAUAGUUGUAACAAUUAGUAAAUUGAAAUAAAAAGAAAGGGAAAUGUCGGAUGAACUUACCUAUACCAAGGACUCUCCGGUAAAGAAUACACGUAGUCCAGGACUUCCACCUACAACGAAUAAAUCUAUAGAUACUAAGGUUAAAUAAGUUUUCCAAGUACAGUAUGACCUACAAUAAGUAACUCAUCGAAGUUUGUUAUACCGUACUUGUAUAAACAAAAGGUAAACCGGUUAUUACUUUACUAGAAACACGUAUAUUUUACCAAUAGCUAUGGUAUUAAGAACCAAAAUUAUUCGAAGAACGUGAUUUGGCAAAUUCGGUAAGAUGAUAGACAUUA
rnacentral:rRNA from 1 species